rnacentral:rRNA from 1 species
CCUACGGGAGGCUGCAGUGGGGAAUAUUGGACAAUGGGGGCAACCCUGAUCCAGCCAUGCCGCGUGUGUGAAGAAGGCCCUCGGGUUGUAAAGCACUUUCAGUGAGGAAGAACGCCUGGUGGUUAAUACCCAUCAGGAAAGACAUCACUCACAGAAGAAGCACCGGCUAACUCCGUGCCAGCAGCCGCGGUAAUACGGAGGGUGCGAGCGUUAAUCGGAAUUACUGGGCGUAAAGCGCGCGUAGGUGGCUUGAUAAGCCGGUUGUGAAAGCCCCGGGCUCAACCUGGGAACGGCAGCCGGAACUGUCAAGCUAGAGUGCAGGAGAGGAAGGUAGAAUUCCCGGUGUAGCGGUGAAAUGCGUAGAGAUCGGGAGGAAUACCAGUGGCGAAGGCGGCCUUCUGGACUGACACUGACACUGAGGUGCGAAAGCGUGGGUAGCAAACAGGAUUAGAUACCCCAGUAGUC